UACGGAGGGUGCAAGCGUUGUUCGGAAUCACUGGGCGUAAAGCGCGUGUAGGCGGCCUUCUUAGUCUGGUGUGAAAGCCCGGGGCUCACCCCCGGAAGUGCAUUGGAUACUGGAAGGCUGGAGUACCGGAGAGGAGGGUGGAAUUCCUGGUGUAGCGGUGAAAUGCGUAGAUAUCAGGAGGAACACCGGUGGCGAAGGCGGCCCUCUGGACGGAUACUGACGCUGAGGAGCGAAAGCCGGGGGAGCAAACGGG
rnacentral:rRNA from 1 species